UACGUAGGGUGCGAGCGUUAAUCGGAAUUACUGGGCGUAAAGCGUGCGCAGGCGGCGCCGCAAGUCAGGCGUGAAAUCCCCGAGCUUAACUUGGGAAUGGCGCUUGAAACUACGGUGCUGGAGUGUGGCAGAGGGAGGUGGAAUUCCACGUGUAGCGGUGAAAUGCGUAGAUAUCUGGAGGAAUACCGGUGGCGAAGGCGGCAUCCUGGACCGGCAUUGACGCUGAGGAGCGAAAGCCAGGGGAGCAAACGGG
rnacentral:rRNA from 1 species